AAGUCGUAACAAGGUUUCCGUAGGUGAACCUGCGGAAGGAUCAUUAACACGUAUCCAAACGUUAAACCCCCCUGUGAACCUUCAGUCGUACUCGUACGUCCGUUAGAAAAAGCAGCAAUCCCUGGUAAAUCAUCGCCGAACAGUUUUCGAUUCAGGGACGUCUGCAAGGAGCGUGCAUGUUGUGCGUGUAAGUGGCCUGGCAUCCCCAAGCAGUUAGUGUCCCCACACGGCCGACGACCGGGUCACUGGGUGCAAGCCCCUUUAUCACACCCCUGCUCUAUCUAUGGUGAUCCUGCGGGAAGUCCUGCGGUCGAACGCCGAAACCGAACAACUGUUAACAAUGGAUAUCUUGGUUCUC
rnacentral:misc_RNA from 1 species